rnacentral:rRNA from 1 species
CUCCCCGAAAUGCAUUUAGGUGCAGCGUCACGCGUUUCUUAUCGGAGGUAGAGCACUGGAUGAGCUAGGGGGCCCAAAAGCUUACUGAACCCAACCAAACUCCGAAUGCCGAUAAGUGAGAGCGUGGCAGUGAGACUGCGGGCGAUAAGGUUCGUAGUCGAGAGGGAAACAGCCCAGACCACCAACUAAGGCCCCCAAGCGUAUGCUAAGUGGGAAAGGAUGUGGAGUCGCAUAGACAACCAGGAGGUUGGCUUAGAAGCAGCCACCCUUAAAAGAGUGCGUAAUAGCUCACUGGUCAAGUGAUUCCGCGCCGACAAUGUAACGGGGCUCAAGCAUACCGCCGAAGUUGUGGCAUUCAUACCGAUAACCCGGCCGCAAGGUCCAGGUGUAUGGAUGGGUAGGGGAGCGUCGUGUGGCCAGCGAAGCGGCGGGGUAACCCAGCCGUGGAGGCCACACGAGUGAGAAUGCAGGCAUGAGUAGCGAAUGACGGGUGAGAAACCCGUCCGCCGGAUGAUCAAGGGUUCCAGGGCUAGGCUAAUCCGCCCUGGGUAAGUCUGGACCUAAGGCGAGGCCGACAGGCGUAGUCGAUGGACAACGGGUUGAUAUUCCCGUACCGGUGUUAACGCGCCCAUGACGAACCUCAUAAUGCUAAGAGUAUGAAGCGUCGAGCUCCUUCGGGAGUGAGAACGUGGAGCACUCGAACCGAGUGGGUAGUAGUCAAACGAUGGGGUGACGCAGGAAGGUAGCUUAACCGCGGCGAUGGUAGUCCGCGGCCAAGGUUGUAGGGCGAGAUAUAGGCAAAUCCGUAUCUCAUGCGCCUGAGAACUGAUGGGGAGCCGAUUGUGGCGAAGUAAGUGAUCCUAUGCUGCCGAGAAAAGCCUCUAGUGAGUGUUAACGCCGCCAGUACCCCAAACCAACACAGGUGAUCAGGUAGAGAAUACUAAGGCGAUCGAGUGAACUAUGGUUAAGGAACUCGGCAAAAUACCCCCGUAACUUCGGGAGAAGGGGGGCCAAUUCUGGUGUAGGGGCUUGCCCCCGAAGCUGGAAGGGGCCGCAGAGACCAGGCUGAAGCGACUGUUUACUAAAAACACAGGUCCAUGCAAAGUUGCAAAACGACGUAUAUGGACUGACUCCUGCCCGGUGCUGGAACGUUAAGGGGACCGGUUAGCUCUUCGGAGCGAAGCUGAGAACUUAAGCGCCAGUAAACGGCGGUGGUAACUAUAACCAUCCUAAGGUAGCGAAAUUCCUUGUCGGGUAAGUUCCGACCUGCACGAAUGGAGUAACGACUUCAGCGCUGUCUCAACCAUAGGCUCGGCGAAAUUGCACUACGAGUAAAGAUGCUCGUUACGCGUGGCAGGACGGAAAGACCCCGGGACCUUUACUAUAGCUUGGUAUUGGUGGUCGAUUCAAUUUGUGUAGGAUAGGUGGGAGACUGUGAAGCAUGGACGCUAGUCCGUGUGGAGUCAUCGUUGAAAUACCACUCUGAUUGUAUUGGCUGUCUAACCUCGAACCGUGAUCCGGUUUAGGGACAGUGCCUGGUGGGUAGUUUAACUGGGGCGGUUGCCUCCCAAAAAGUAACGGAGGCGCUCAAAGGUUCCCUCAGCCUGGUUGGUAAUCAGGUGUCGAGUGCAAGUGCACAAGGGAGCUUGACUGUGAGACUGACAAGUCGAGCAGGGACGAAAGUCGGAACUAGUGAUCCGGCGUCGGCAAGUGGAAGCGGCGUCGCUCAACGGAUAAAAGGUACCCCGGGGAUAACAGGCUGAUCUUGCCCAAGAGUCCAUAUCGACGGCAUGGUUUGGCACCUCGAUGUCGGCUCGUCGCAUCCUGGGGCUGGAGUAGGUCCCAAGGGUUGGGCUGUUCGCCCAUUAAAGCGGUACGCGAGCUGGGUUUAGAACGUCGUGAGACAGUUCGGUCCCUAUCCGCCACGCGCGCAGGAGUCUUGAGGAAACCUGUCCCUAGUACGAGAGGACCGGGACGGACGAACCUCUGGUGUGCCAGUUGUCCUGCCAAGGGCACGGCUGGUUAGCUACGUUCGGAAGGGAUAACCGCUGAAAGCAUCUAAGCGGGAAGCCCGUUCCAAGAUAAGGACUCCCACAGGGUUAACCUGGUAAGGACCCCAGUAGAUGACUGGGUUGAUAGGCCGGAAGUGGAAGUGCAGUAAUGCAUGCAGCUGACCGGUACUAAUAGUCCGAGGACUUGCCUCA